UUUGCGGUGUGUUCCAGUGCGACUGUUGGCCAAGAAGCAGGAGACACAACAGUCGUGUUCUGUCGGGACGUGUUCUUUGGUGUCAGUUUGGUGUGUCAGGGCCUUUAGAAGUAUCACAUAUGUGUUCAUCUUUCUAGGGAGUUAACCAAUGAUAGUGAAUAUCAUCAGGAUGACUCUGGGGGUCUUGAUGCUUAUUCCUGUGUUUCUCCUGAGUCUGUGGACGAGGAAGAAGAAAGCUCUGCGCUCCACCACUGAAGCACCUGAAGAGAUAGAGUUGGACUCUAUCCCUGAGUAUGAGAACGACUCACACACUGCAGCACAGACAGAAGACACAGAGGAGCAGGGAGACAUGGUGUGAAGUCCACUCAGGUUAGAGCCUCCUGCAUCAGAUCAAACAGG